GGAGGGAUGGCCGAGCGGUCUAAGGCGGUAGACUCAAGUUCUAUUAUCUUCGGAUGCAGGGGUUCGAAUCCCCUUUCCUUCA